AGUGGGCGGGGCCUGGCGUGCGCCGGGUGGUCUCGCGGGCGGUGGCAGGGAAUCCAGUAUUUAUGUUCACUCCAAGACCUGAAUUUAUAUUAUAACAACAUUCCUUCAUUAGUGGAAGUGUCCCGUCUACAACCGUUACCCUUCCUCAAAGAACUGGAUUUGAGACUUAAUCCUGUUGUAAGGAAAGAUACAGAUUAUAGGCUCUUUGCUGUAUAUACACUACAAACUCUGGAGAAAUUAGAUGACCGAACUGUACGUGAAGGUGAGAGAAAAGCUGCCAAGCUGCAUUUUAGUCAGUUGGGCAACAGUGAAAAUUUUCUUUUAGAGGUGGAAAAAAGACGGAGUCUUGCUCUGUCACCCAGGCUGGAGUGCAGUGGUGCGAUCUUGGCUCACUACAACCUCCACCUCCCGGGUUCAAGUGAUUCUGCUGCCUCAGCCUCCUGUGUAGCUGGGAUUACAGCUCUAGGGAGAAGACAAUGAAAAACUGUGUAACAGGUGAGAGCUCUGCAUCAAAAGUCAGUGCUAAUGUUGACAGCAGGAUUGAAAUGG
rnacentral:lncRNA from 10 species